ensembl:lncRNA
AUGUCGAUCUCAGCAUCGGAGGGAGAGCUGUCGGAUCACGGUUCGGUUGCGCUACCGUCCUCUGGGAUGGUGACAAAGCCUGAUUCGGAUCCCGAAGUGGCAGCUAUGCUUUCCCGGGCCGCCGAGAGGGUAGGGCUCGAGUGGAAUCCCCCACCGCGUCCCGAGCCCUCACGGCUGGAUGAUUGGUUUCUCGGGGUGGUGCGCGCUGGUUCUCAGCGCCCCACCCCAGUGCCUUUCUUUCCGGAAGUGCAUGACGAGCUCACCAAGUCGUGGAUGGCACCUUUUACUGCCAGAAACCAGCCGGUGGGCUCCUCCUCCCUCACCACCCUCGAGGGCGGUGCAGCGAAGAGGUAUUCAGGAAUCCCGUCGGUGGAGCGGGCGGUAGCGAUGCAAUUGUGUCCUAAGUCCGCCGCCUCCUGGCGUGGAGACCCGGUGCUCCCUUCCCGGGCCUGUAGGCACUCGUCUGGUCUGACCGGCAGUGCCUAUGUGGCUUGCGGGGAAGCUGCUUCCGCCUUACACGCUAUGGCGUUACUGCAGGUGCACAAGGCUAAGGCACUGAAAGACCUGCACGAGGGUGGUCACGAUCCAGCGCUUCUGGAAGAGCUCCGAACCGCCACUGACCUUGCGCUUCGAGCGACGAAGGUCACCGCGAGUUCGCUGGGUCGUGCGAUGUCCACAUUAGUGGUCCAGGAGCGCCAUCUGUGGCUGGGUCUGGCAGACAUGAGGGACACCGACAAGGUCCGGUUUCUCAAUGCCCCUGUGUCCCAGACCGGCCUCUUCGGCGACGCAGUCGAGAUUUUGGCCCAGCAAUUCUCGGCUGCCCAGAAGCAGACUGAGGCGAUCCGACACAUCCUGCCCCGGCGGGCAGCUGCUGCUAUCUCCACCCACCCGCCGGCUGCAGUGCCCCAGCCUGCUCGUCGCCGAGGGCAGCCCCCUGCAUCCGCCCCUGCUCACGCGUCGCAUCUGCAGCAGCCUCCAAGUGGUGCCGUUGAGCUGGGCACAGGCAGGCUGCCCCUCCCGUCCUGGCCCCCGUCAAACCUGACGGUAAGCAGAAGAGCAAGAGGCCCUGGGACGGGUGACCCAGAGAGAGGUAGCUGCUUUCUGGGGGAUGGUGUAGGCACCUCUCCCUCCCCUGGAGGAGGGCCAGGCGGAGAAUUUGGAAAUCUCGACAGGAGAGUAGUUUCCUCCCUCUCUGGGUCCCAGGAGGGCACGGAGAGUUGCGGACGGCCAAGCACCGGACCUCACUCAUCCUCCUCCUUCGCCAGAUGGCAGCUGCGGGCGGUUCGAGAGCGUCAACAAAGGCCCUACUCACGCACCCUCUGCCAACCCGUGGAACCAGGUGAGCCCUGCACCCCACACUCGCACCACACUCCGGCCUGCUCACAAGCCGCCCGAGUUGGGCCCCUGUGUUCCACCUCGCUGCCCCACUGUGGGUACGGCUGUGGUUCUGCUGGUCCCGCUUGUACGGUUCUUAGGCGCCUGGUCAGCGCUACCCAGCCCGUCUCGCUGGCUUCUGCGAACCAUCAGCCUCGGCUAUGCGAUUCAGAUCGCCCGGCUUCCCCCCAAGCUCUGCGGUGUCCGCUUCACUACAGUGGAAGCGUCCGAUGCCCCUGUCUUGCGGAAAGAGAUCGCAGUCCUACUGGCGAAGGCCGCGAUAGAGCCGGUCCCUCCAGCCGAUAUGAGGAAGGGGCUUUACAGCCCGUACCUCAUUGUACCCAAGAAAAGCGGUGGGUUACGACCGGUCUUGGAUCUGCGAGUUUUGAAUCGGGCCCUCUAUCGGCUACAGUUCAAAAUGUUGACACAGAAACGCAUUUUCAGGUGCGUCCGUCCCCAAGAUUGGUUUGCAGCGAUCGACCUGAAGGACGUGUACUUUCAUGUGUCCAUACUUCCGCGCCACAGACCUUUUCUGCGGCUUGCGUUCGAAGGACUAGCAUAUCAGUACAAGGUCCUGCCCUUCCGGCUGUCCCAGUCUCCCUGUGUCUUCACGGAAGUCACGGAGGCAGCUCUCGUCCCUCUCAGAGAGCAGAGUGUUCGCAUUCUCAAUUGGCUGAUACUAGCACAGUCUCGAGAUCAGUUGUGCGAGCACAGGGAUGUGGUGCUCCGGCACCUGAGCCUGUUGGGCCUUCAGGUCAGCUGGGAAAAGAGCAAACUCUCACCAUUGCAGAGGAUCUCUUUUCUCGGUAUGGAGUUGGAUUCGGUCGAACAGACAGCACGCCUCACAGAGGAACGUGCGCGGUCGGUGCUAGCCUGCUUGAAUACGUCCAAGAGCAGGACGGCGGUCCCACUGAAACUCUUUCAGAGGCUCCUGGGGCAUAUGGUGGCCACAGCGGCACUUACACCGCUCGGCCUAUUACAUAUGAGACCGCUCCGGCACUGGCUUUAUGGCCGAGUCCUGAGGUGGGCGUGGAAGCGCGGCACUCACCGGGUCCAAGUUACACCGGCCUGUCGCCAAACCCUCACUCCGUGGUCAGAUCUGACAUUCCUUUGGGCAGGGGUGCCCCUAGAGCAGAUCUCCAGGCAUGCUGUGGUUUACACGCAUGCCUCCACCACCGCCGGGGGGGCCACGUACAACGGGCAUGCAGUCUCAGGGGUUUGGACGGGCCCGCAGCUGCAGUGGCACAUCAAUUGCCUAGAGUUGUUAGCAACGCACCUUGCCUUGAACCGUCUCAAAGGUCUCUUACGAGGCAAGCCUGUGCUGGUCCGAUUGGACAACACUGCGACUGUUGCGUACAUCAACCACCAAGGUGGUCUGCGCUCUCGUCGCAUCUUGCAACUCGCCCGCCACCUCCUCCUUUGGAGUCAGAAGGUUCUGAGGUCACUUCGUGCUGUUCACAUUCCAGGCCUGCUCAGUCGUACAGCCGACGAGCUGUCUUGAGCAAUGCUCCCGGGAGAAUGGCGACUCCAUCCCCUGACGGUCCAGCUGAUUUGGAGGCGGUUCAGAGCCGCUCAGGUAGACCUGUUUGCUGCUCCAGAGACCCCUCACUGCCAGGCUUUCUACUCCCUGACCGAGGGAACUCUCGGCACGGAUGCACUGGCACACAGCUGGCCGCGGGACCUACGCAAGUAUGCGUUUCCCCCAGUGAGCCUUCUCGCACAGACGUUGUGCAAAGUCCAGGAGGACGAGGAGCAAGUCUUACUAGUAGCGCCAUAUUGGCCUACUCGGACCUGGUUCCCCGAACUAGUGCUCCUCUCGACAGCCCCUCCUUGGCUGGUUCCUCUGAGGAGGGAUUUACUGACUCAGAGACGGGGCACCAUUUGGCACCCGCGUCCAGACCUUUGGAAACUCCAUGUUUGGUCCCUGGACGGGACGCGGAGGUUCUAGGUGACCUACCCCAAGAGGUAGUUAACACCAUCACUUCGGCAAGAGCACAGUCUACGAGACACGCCUAUGCCUUGAAGUGGAACCUGUUCGUUGAGUGGUGUUCUUCUCGCCGAGAAGACCCCCGAAGAUGCCCGAUUGCGGCCGUGCUAUCCUUUUUGCAGCAAGGGUUGGAGCGAAGGCUGUCUCCCUCCACCCUCAAAGUCCAGGUUGCCGCUAUUGCUGCGUACCAUGACCCUGUGAAUGGGAAGUCUUUGGGUAAGCAUGACCUCAUCAUCAGGUUCCUUAGAGGGGCCAGGAGGUUAAAUCCAUCCCGGCCCCCCUGUAUACCCUCUUGGGACCUGUCUCUAGUGCUUAAAUCACUACAGCAGGGCCCAUUCGAGCCUUUGCAUUCAGUUGAGCUAAAGUUUCUUUCAUUGAAAACUGUGCUCCUGCUUGCACUGGCCUCCAUCAAGAGGGUAGGGGACCUGCAUGCAUUUUCGGUCAACGAUUCGUGCCUAGAGUUCGGGCCGGCUGACUCCCAGGUAAUCCUGAGGCCCCGGCCUGGCUACGUGCCCAAGGUUCCCACUACACCCUUCAAAGACCAAGUGGUGAACCUGCAAGCGCUGCCCCUGGAGGAGGCAGACCCAGCCCUGGCUUUGCUUUGUCCUGUUCGAGCAUUAAGGUGCUACGUGGACCGGACGCAAAGCUUCAGGACCUCAGACCAGCUCUUUGUCUGUUACGGAGGCCGGCAGAAGGGGAAUGCCGUCUCUAAGCAGAGGAUGGCCCACUGGAUUGUGGAUGCCAUAACCCUGGCUUAUCAGGCUCAGGAUGUGCCCUGCCCGUUCAGGCUUCGAGCUCACUCAACUAGAAGUGUUGCAUCCUCCUGGGCGCUGGCUCGUGGCGCCUCGCUGACAGAUAUUUGUAGAGCUGCGGGCUGGGCGACCCCUAACACGUUCGCUAGGUUCUAUAGCCUUCGUGUAGAGCCGGUAUCCUCCUGUGUUCUCACCUCAAACGGGUAG